CUACGGGGGGCACCAGUGGGGAAUAUUGCACAAUGGGCGCAAGCCUGAUGCAGCCAUGCCGCGUGUAUGAAGAAGGCCUUCGGGUUGUAAAGUACUUUCAGCGGGGAGGAAGGGAGUAAAGUUAAUACCUUUGCUCAUUGACGUUACCCGCAGAAGAAGCACCGGCUAACUCCGUGCCAGCAGCCGCGGUAAUACGGAGGGUGCAAGCGUUAAUCGGAAUUACUGGGCGUAAAGCGCACGCAGGCGGUUUGUUAAGUCAGAUGUGAAAUCCCCGGGCUCAACCUGGGAACUGCAUCUGAUACUGGCAAGCUUGAGUCUCGUAGAGGGGGGUAGAAUUCCAGGUGUAGCGGUGAAAUGCGUAGGGAUCUGGAGGAAUACCGGUGGCGAAGGCGGCCCCCUGGACGAAGACUGACGCUCAGGUGCGAAAGCGUGGGGAGCAAACAGGAUUAGAUACCCGAGUAGUC
rnacentral:rRNA from 1 species